rnacentral:rRNA from 1 species
CCUACGGGAGGCAGCAGUGAGGAAUAUUGGUCAAUGGGCGGAAGCCUGAACCAGCCAAGUCGCGUGAGGGAAUAAGGCCCUACGGGUCGUAAACCUCUUUUGCCGGGGAGCAAGGGCGGGGACGUGUCCCGGCCCGGAGAGUACCCGGAGAAAAAGCAUCGGCUAACUCCGUGCCAGCAGCCGCGGUAAUACGGAGGAUGCGAGCGUUAUCCGGAUUUAUUGGGUUUAAAGGGUGCGUAGGCGGGCUGUUAAGUCAGCGGUCAAAUGUCGGGGCUCAACCCCGGCCUGCCGUUGAAACUGGCGGCCUCGAGUGGGCGAGAAGUAUGCGGAAUGCGUGGUGUAGCGGUGAAAUGCAUAGAUAUCACACAGAACACCGAUUGCGAAGGCAUCUCACGAAUCCGCGAUUGACGCUGAUGCACGAAAGCGUGGGUAUCAAACAGGAUUAGAUACCCCUGUAGUC